UACGAAGGGUGCGAGCGUUGUUCGGAAUUAUUGGGCGUAAAGCGCACGUAGGCGGCUGGGUAAGUCUGUCUGUGAAAGCCCGGGGCUCAACCCCGUGGAUUGCAGGGGAUACUGCCUGGCUGGAGACAAGCAGAGGUUGGUAGAAUUCCGGGUGUAGCGGUGGAAUGCGUAGAGAUCCGGAGGAAUACCAGAGGCGAAGGCGGCCAACUGGGCUUGUUCUGACGCUGAGGUGCGAAAGCGUGGGGAGCGAACAGG
rnacentral:rRNA from 1 species